rnacentral:rRNA from 1 species
AGUGAACGCUGGCGGUAGGCCUAACACAUGCAAGUCGAACGGCAGCACAGUAAGAGCUUGCUCUUACGGGUGGCGAGUGGCGGACGGGUGAGGAAUACAUCGGAAUCUACUUUUUCGUGGGGGAUAACGUAGGGAAACUUACGCUAAUACCGCAUACGACCUACGGGUGAAAGCAGGGGAUCUUCGGACCUUGCGCGAUUGAAUGAGCCGAUGUCGGAUUAGCUAGUUGGCGGGGUAAAGGCCCACCAAGGCGACGAUCCGUAGCUGGUCUGAGAGGAUGGUCGGCGACACUGGAACGGAGACACGGUCAAGACUCCUACGGGAGGGAGCAGUGGGGAAUAUUGGACAAUGGGCGGAAGCCUGAUCCAGCCAUACCGCGUGGGUGAAGAAGGCCUUCGGGUUGUAAAGCCCUUUUGUUGGGAAAGAAAAGCAGCAGGUUAAUACCCCGCUGUUCUGACGGUACCCAAAGAAUAAGCACCGGCUAACUUCGUG